rnacentral:misc_RNA from 1 species
GAUGAAGAACGCAGCGAAAUGCGAUAAGUAAUGUGAAUUGCAGAAUUCAGUGAAUCAUCGAAUCUUUGAACGCACAUUGCGCCCAUUAGUAUUCUAGUGGGCAUGCCUGUUCGAGCGUCAUUUCAACCCUUAAGCCUAGCUUAGUAUUGGGAAUCGACUUUACUGUCGUUCCUCAAAUUCAACGGCGGAUUUAUUGCAAUCUCUGAACGUAGUAAUUUUUUUCCUCGUUUUUGAAAUACUAUAAACCUCAGCCGCUAAACCCCCAAUUUUUCUAUGGUUGACCUCGGAUCAGGUAGGAAUACCCGCUGAACUUAAGCAUAUCAAUAAGCGGAGGA